UACGUAGGGGGCUAGCGUUGUCCGGAUUUAUUGGGCGUAAAGAGCGUGUAGGCGGCCAGGUAGGUCUGCUGUGAAAACUCGAGGCUCAACCUCGAGACGUCGGCGGAAACCAUCUGGCUAGAGUCCGGAAGAGGAGAGUGGAAUUCCUGGUGUAGCGGUGAAAUGCGCAGAUAUCAGGAAGAACACCAAUGGCGAAGGCAGCUCGCUGGGACGGUACUGACGCUAAGGCGCGAAAGCGUGGGGAGCAAACAGG
rnacentral:rRNA from 1 species